CGAGGGUUUACCCGUGCCGCUGCUCACUACAACAAAUAAGGUUUGUUCUAGCAGUUUUUUAGCCACCAGUUAUGCUAACUGUUGCUAAAACUAUAUUAUACCAGCAUUUUUUUAUUAUUUCUGUAACAUUUACUAAACCGUUGGUAUAGAAGUAAUAAUUUUUAAUGUAUAAACAAUGUUGGGCCUUUUUUUAUUAGCUUAUUUAAUCAAUUGGGCCAAUAAUUGGGCCACAUUGGAUUUGAAAAGCCUUGCAACUAAAAUGCACCACGUGUCCAUCUCUAAGCUCUCCACCAUCUCUGAGCUCUCCAUCUCCCACCACGAGCUCGAUCUCCACCACGAGCUCUCCAUCUCUGAGCUCGCUCGCUCGCGUCGACCUCGUCGCUCUCUACUAUCAUCGCCUCCUCCUCCACCUCCCUCUAAUGGCGCCACUCCCUCAAGCUCCAAACCCUAGCUCCACAAGUCUCCUCCUUCCUCCUCCAUCGUAGGCGCGUCCAAUCCUUUUCCUUCUCUGCUUCUCAGGAAGGAGUGCCCUAACACCGAGUGUGGGACGGGGACGUUCAUGGCCAACCCAUAAUUUCUAUUGCUCGUGCCCUAACAUUGAGUGCGCUCGAUCGCCAUUACUGUGGCAAGUGUGGGCUCACCUGCGUCUACCAGAACAAAGGUGAGUGAAUCAUUACUUUUUGAUAGACAAUUCGUAGGGGGUUUUGAAUUUGAGAUCUGUUUUUGGUUAAUGUUUUUCUUGUUCGAUUACUCGAAACUUAAUUGUUUAAUUGCUAUUAAUAGUAGAUAAAUUGUUUAAUUGUUUAGUUGCUAUUAUCCGGCAAUUGGCUCUAAUAGAAUUUGUAAUUUGUUUUGCAUAGAACACCCUCACAGGGAAUGUGCACAAAUAAUAGAGAUUUCCAUAGGCACUUUGUGGGAGUAAUUGCAUAAUUUCACAUAUUUGCAAAGAUGUAUAUUUGCAAAAAUUUUCAAAGUAAUGUAGGAUACAACAUAUGUACAUACAUAGCUAAAGCUUUUUGGUUCCAAGUCAACUUCCUAUAAUACACUAUUGGCUAAAGAAACUAUUCAAAACGCUAAGAAGAAAGUGUCAAAAUUGUUGUUUAUUCAGAUCCUAGUGUUUUUAUUUGCCUUACCUUGAAAUUUGAUGGUUCAUUGCAAACUGGAAGUUGCAGUGAAAUAGAGACAUUAUCAAGAUGAAAUGUAUUUGCACACUAUCAGUUAUUUAUUGAUCCAAUGAAGAAAGUUCACACUUGAAACCGGAAGGGCCAUUUUUCUCCCGGUAUUUUGAAUAGCACUUGCAAAUAGGGAGAUGCGUUCAUACUUUUUUUAGUAGAUAAUAGGCGGAGGAUUGCGUUUGGGUAUUUGGUUGCAAUGUUGCAUCAAAAGAAAGACGCUCUUCAUUGGUUGGCAUGAAUUGUAUGGAUAUUGAGAGCAGGCCCGGAGUGUUUGCUGUAUUUGAUUCGGCUUGUUGAACACUCAGAUUAGCUCGAGUUGGUUUUUGACCCGAACUUCCUAACCCUACUCUGAAUUAUGAUAUGGUUAAGUUAGAAAUUCAUCAGAAGGUAGAGCUUGUAAUGAGUCUUUUGUACUAAUCUUUUAUCCGCCUUCUUCUAAGUAUGGUGGUUCUUGGGGAGUAGUUACCGUUAGUAGUCAACAGUACACUAGUUUAAUAAGAAAAUUAUUGACCGAAACAUGCAAGUAGACUGCCCAUCAUCUCACUAUGCCUUUUCAUUUGCUAGUAGACUCAUGAUAAACCUUCCAUAUGAUUCUUUGGCGUAUUUCUUUCUUUUCUGCAACUGUGCUAUUGUCACAUGUAUCUAGAGUUUGAUAGAACUACAAUAGGAAACACAUUUAAAAUGCCAUUCUCCUCGAUUGUUGGUGUGUACUAAAUCUUAAUUUGUUUAAAUCAUCAGGCACUCCUAAUGUGAAUCAUUUGCUGAAGCUUUUUUGAUAGCUAGGACUUGUAUUUAUAUAAAUGGCUAUCGGUAAUAGUAAUUCGGGAAACAGGGCUCUGUAUUUUUAGGGGUCCAUGUGAUUGCCAAAGGCCAUGCCUGUAGAAUUUGCUGAAAUGUACAAUUAUAUUGCAGAUGCUUAUGGUUAUGCUGUUCUUUUGCAACAAUUUAUGCGAACUACAUGUGGCACUUGUGACAGUCAGCAUGCAUGUUUUUACUUUAUUUGCUCUGAAGAGAGUUCAGUGACAUGUGAAAAUUUCAUAGAUCUACUUUAUUUGGUACUGUUUUUACUUUAUUUGCCCACAAAUGCAUGCUCCAAACCAUAUCCCACCAAUUCAAUCUGCAUCUCUCCAAAUCCCCAUAAGAAGAUAUAUAAUUAAUAAUUACAUAGAUUGGACUUAAUAAGAUAGUUUAGUUUAUCUUCUAUUAAGUAUUAGAUAUGUUGUUCUAAAUUGAUUUGAUCACCAAGAUCACAUCCUCCAAAUAUGUAGUCUAGAAAUUAACAUUACCUUGUUACACCUUAUCCCAGAGCGGAUUUUACAAAUUGAGAGUUUGAGAUCUCUCGUCUUCGUGAAUUUGAAGCACGUCUCGAAACUUCUUUUUGAUAUUGUCCUGUCCAACCGACCGUCCCUAGAGCAAGUGGUAAAGGACUUGGUGGUUGGUACUCGAGACCCAAGUUCAAAUCCUAGUUGAUUCACAUUUCUAGCUAAGUUUAUUUCUAAAUGAAAUAAACGAAACGAGUAGCGUGCUACCUAUCUAUCUCUCAAAAAAAGAAAAAAAAGAAAGAAAAAAAAGAAGAAGAUAUUGUCCUGCCCAUUUUGUCACUAGCUUUGUAUUUAAUGUAAAUAGAAGAUCAUCAGUAAAAUUUUUCUAUGAUGUAGAGCCGACGAUUUUCUUAGGAGAAAAAAAAAGAAUAAACAAUCCAAUAUAUAAUAUAGAAAAUAUUGGAAAACAAAUGAGUAUCUUGCUAAUCAAAAUUUAGUCACAUAAUUUAGAGCGUAUUAAACUAGUACGUUUACUUAAUUUCUUCUCGAGAUUCUUUUGUAUUAAUUGGGCCCUACCCACGUGACAAGUCCCCUAUAAGGGCCCAUUGUACUAGAAAAGUGGGUUGAGCCCAACACACACACACACACACACACAAAGUGGGUAAAGUUCCUGCAUGUUCAUUUAUACUUUGGAAUGAAUAACUAUCCUAGGAAGAGAUAGUAAAAUUCAGCUUUGGACUGAUUGAUACUUGUUUGCAUUCGAAAGUGCUUGUUAAAUCAGAAUUCAGAUUUAUAUCCCGUAACCUUGUUUGUAUUCGAAAGUGCAGCAUCUAUUUCCUCAUUUUAUCUUGUAGUUAUGAAAAAAAUGGAAUCAUUUUGUUUUAUAAAUAAUUGCUUGUCACUUCUGAAAUAACUGAUAAAGAAAUAAUAAUACGUACAGGACAUGCCAUAGAAAUUAAUUAAUGGAUUGAAAAGAAAUAAUAAUGGGGUGAUAGGGAAAUAUUGAUGCUUAAUUAAUUUGUGUGCCCCCAAAAUGUAAGUGCUUUAGUACAUUUUGAUCGAUCAUAUAUAACACUAUUUUUUUUUUGUUUUUUUGGUACCUAUAUGGGCAAUGUUUUAGUACAUACUUUGUGAUUUUUGAGAGUUUUGAUUGAUUGAUUGAUUCGCACAUUUCAAGUGUUUCAUUAGUGCGGUGCAUGCAUUUAGAGUUGCAUUGCAGCUCUAGAUCUAAUUGCGUCGCGUGCUAGUUGUGUACUAUUUGAUAGAUUGUACAGUGAAGCCAUUUAUUUAUAUAUUAUUACUUCUGGUUUAGGGAGUUUUUAACUAAUUGGUACACAUACUUUUGAGUAUUUAUUUUGUGUGGCGCAUUUGGAGUUGCAUUAAUUUUAACUCUAGCUGUUGAUAGAUUAUAACUAAUUAAGUCCAUCACUAUAGUUGCGGCUGCAACAAAACUCAGUGUAAUACAUGAUCUUAAAAAUUUGAGGUAAAUGUGAAGAUUUAUUUGUAUCGGUAAUUGUUCUUAUCUAUCCAUUUAUUUGAUUUUAGGAUCAGUCUGUUUUAUUCAGUUAGGUUCCGGAAUUUUUUUAUAGUAGUAAGUUUGUUGAGUAGAAAGUACUUUAAUAGAUGAAAUUCAAUUUUCGAUACUUUUAUUUUUUGCUAUAUGCUACUUAUGAUAGAUUUCUUGUUGGAAUAAGCUUAUGCAUCUCAUAUGUUUUAAUUUUUUUUGUUUCAGAUUGAAGCAAUAAGCAUGAUUUGAUGUUCGCAUUUGAAGAAUGCUUAGCUGGAGCUUUUCACUUUCCUUUUUCUUAACUUUCGAAUAUUUGGGAUUCAAAUAAAUUUUCUAUUGCAUUGAUUUCUAUUAGAAUGUAAAAAUUUGUUUUGUUUGCAUUUUAUCACUGCUCUAGAUCAUUGCUUAUUGUUUUGUUUCAAGAAUGAUUGUAUCAUCUUAUUGCAAUUUAGUAAUAUGACUCUUAUUUUUUUUACGGAUAUUAUAGAUUGUUGGUUUUACAAUUAAUAUCAAAUAAAAAAGCCCUAUUAUAAUUUGUUGAUAUUAGUAUUUUUUUUUUCAUAUUAGUUUCAAAUUGCCAACGGUCAAAUACUGUCGGUACAUGUGUUUUACGCCAGUGUUUUUUUUUGUAGUUUUAACGACGGUUUAAGAACUGUUGCUAGAGAUCAUUUUCACCAGUGGUUAGUAAAAGUGCUGGGAAAAGGCUAUACCAGCAAGGAUAUUGUAACGGUCAUCUACAUUUUUACCAGCAGUUUUAGAACUGCUGGAGCAAAUAUUACUAGCAGUUUUUGUAUUCUUUUUCAGCAGUUUUGAUUGCUGGUAUAUAUAUACCUAUUUUUUUGUAGUGCGCGCUGCUGCUCCGAACAUUGGAAGUCUCUCUCCGUUGGGUUUCUCCUCUCCUCUUCAACUAUGUCUCGACUAUGUAGGAAUCACGAGUGUGUGAGAUUGCGAGAGUGACAGCACGUUAGUGUAACUGAAGUUUAGGAGUGUGGGAACGAAGAAAGAAAAAGAAAGAUUUUAUAAUAUAUAUAGUUGCAUAUAAUUCCAAUCUUAAUCAAAUAAAUGAAAUUCUAUCUAAAUUGCAAUCCUAAUUGUUCUAGGAAUCGAGAAUUAAACUGCUCUCAAUUUCAAAUCCGCAAAUUCGCGUCCGCCUAUCCUCCGGGAUUAGGAUUAGGAUUAGGAUUAGGAUUUCACUCCGCGACUCGGAUCGUUCUGCGCCAUUGCUCGUCUUCUUCCUCUAUCCAUCUCCUGCUUGUGAUCCUCCUCCACCGACGCUUCCUAGGGUUAACGCUUCCUAGGGUUAGGGUUAGAAUUAGGGUUUGGAUCGGGGAUUUGGUCGCCAUUAACGUCGCUAGCUCUGGUUUGGGGUGUUUGUGAGGAAGAGACGAGGCUUUUUCGUAGGGCGAGAGCGAAGCUUUUCUCGCUACAGAACCGUCGAGCUAGAAACUAUUUCAUGCACCUGGUGCAUGAUGCACCACAGCUUUAGGUUUUUUUUUUUUUUGUGAAAAAGCAUCGUCAUUACUUUAUUCUCCGUGUAUGAUAUGAUCCGAAAGAAAUAAACUGCUUAGACCUAUUUUUACAAAUAAAAAUAUUAAAUACUCACUCUUUAAAAUUAAAAAAUUCUAUAAGCCUAGUCGUCUAAAACUCCCAUCUAAAAUUGGUUUCCAAAAUUGGACUGCGACUGAAUCUUCAUAUCUUAGUUCACAAAUUGGGUGUUUGGUCUGCAUUUCGAAAAGUGAUUUUGGACUCUAAAAUAAUUUUCGGCUUAAUAGAACGUUAGGCAGUCUCGUUUCCAAAAUUUGAUUCUAAUUUUUAAAAUCAAUUUGAUGGAAAAGUGAAGGAGGUUAGUUUUGUAAUCCUCUACGAAAUAUAAUAAUUAUUGGUUAAUUUUUGCAGCGACUAUUUAUACUUUGUGAUAUUGUGAUGGUGAUUUAGAUUUGGUCGUAAGCGGAAGUACCUACAAAUUAUGUUGUUUUCAUGAACACAUAGCUGUAACUUCUUUUUGGGACCUCGUUGCAGCUUCUGUGAGAAGAGCUUAUGCUAUUUUAUUGAAGAAGCAUUUGAAGAAGCAUUGGCCUUUUUUUUUGGAUUUACUUCAUACAGAUUCUUAUAAAAAUAUCAAAUAAUAGAUAAAUUCCUACAAAACUUAAAUGAUCAGAUUUAUCCCAUUGAAAAUUUUGUGAUUUGUAAAUAUAUUCUUUUAAAAGGAAUGGUUCCUUCAUAUAUGUUCCUGUCGUGUGAUUCACCGUUAGUUUUUAAACGGUGGAUCAUAUAUGUAGCUUUUCUCACUACCGAACCGUGAACUAGAAAUUAUUGCAUGCACCUGGUGCAUGAUGCACCACAGUUUUAGCUUUUUUUUUUUUUUCUUUUUUUUGGAAAAGCAUCUUCAUGCUUAGACCUAUUUUUACAAAUAAAAAUAUCAAAUACUUACUCUUAAAAUUAAAAAAUUCUAUAAGCCUAGUCGUCUAAAACUCCCAUCCCAAAUUGGUUUCCAAAAUUGGACCGGGACUAGAUCUUCAUAUCUUAAUUCACAGAUUGGGUGUUUGGUCUGGCUUUCGAAAAGUAAUUUGGGAAUGAAAAGUGAUUUUCGGUUCAAUAGAGUGUUAGGUAGUCUCGUUUUCAAAAUUUAAUUCUGAUUUUUAAAAUCAAAUUUCUAAUAUUCGAGGUUCAAAAUAAAAAAGCUAAAACCUACUUCUUGAGAUCCGAUUCUGAUUUUAGAGCUAAAAUUCAAAUUUUUAUUUUGAUUUAGUCUCAAAUUUUUAAUUUUUAAUUGAAAUUCAAAUUUUAAUUUAAAAAAUUUUAAAUUUAUUCUUAAAACUUUAAAUUUCAAACUAUAAAUUUAAUAUCAAAAUUUAUAUAUUAAAUUUAAAAUUUAAAAUGAUAAGUUUUGGUUUUUUAACUACUAAUUUCAAAUUUUGAAAAUUUAAAUUUUAAAUUGUUAGUUUUAAAUUUUUAUUGUUCAAAUUUUAAAUUUCAAAUUUCAAAAUUUCAAAUAUUAAAUUUCAAUUUUCAAAUUUCAAAUUUUAAAUUUCAAUUUUAAAUUAAAAUAUCAAAAUUUAAAUUUUUGUGCAAAUCUCAAAUUUAAUAUUUAAAAUUUUAAUUCAAAUUUCAAAUUUUUUAAAAGGAAUUUAGUAAAAAAUUAUUAUUAUAUGCCAACAUCAAAAAGAUUUGGGCAAACUUCAAAUACCCUUUGUGGUUUCACACUUUCUUACUUUAGUAUCUUGUGGUUUAAAGUGUAUUAAGUUAGCCUCUGUGGUUUCACACUUCCUCAUUUUAGUACCUUGUGGUUUAAAGUGUAUCAAGUUAAUACCCUGUGAUUUUAUUUUUCUCUUUUUAUUAUCCAUUUCACUAAUUCUUUUGUUAAAUCAGUGAUAAAGUAAAAUUAAAGGAUAAUAAAGUGAAUAUUCGAUAAAUCUAGAUAGAGUAUAUGAAGUUUUUUUGUAUAUAAUUUAAUGAAAUAUUAAUGGAGAAAAAAAAAAUCAGCGACAAAGUUAAAACUAAAUGGUAUUAAAAUAAAUAUUCGAUAAAGCUAGAUAUGAUAUUUGAAAUUUUUUGUAAUAAUUUAACGAAAUAUUAACAGAGGAGCCGACGAAAAGAGAAAAAUAAAACCACAGGGCACUAAAUUGAUGCACUUUAUACCACAGGGUACUAAAAUAAGAAAGUGUGAAACCACAUGGUACUAAAUUAAUACACUUUAAAUCAUAGGGUACUAAAGUGAAAAAGUACGAAACCAUAGGGGUGGUAUUUAAAGUUUUUCCAAAAGAUUUUGCCGAACAUGUUUACAGAUCCCUUCAGAAAAAAUCACUUUUCAUCUAAAUUAGUCAAAUGCUCGACAGCUUUUAUUCAAAAUUGAUUCUCCAAACCAAAAUCAAUUCUACAGAAAUUAUUUUUUCAAAAUCUAAACCAAACGGCCAGAGGACAUAACAUACUUGUUUUCAAACCCAUUUUAGCUCUCUUUUUAGUAAAAAAAAAAAAAAAGAGUGGGGAUUUUCUAUCAACUCAAAUUCAAAAUAAAUGAUCACUUAGAAAGUUGUUGCUUCAGCUUACGCCAUACCAAUUUUUCAUAUUCCAUUUUAUUUCUCAUCAAAAGUUACACACAGAAUAGUAAAUGUAACUCGAGUAAUAACACCACCCUAAAAAAAAAAAAAAAGGAAAAUUCCCAAAAAGAAAGAAUUAACACUCUUUCAUCGACCGUCCCGAAAGCAAGUGACAAAGGGCUUAGUAGUUGGUAUCCGAAACCAAGUUCGAAUCCUAGUUGAUUCACAUUUCCAGCUAAGUUUAUUUCUAAAUAAAACAAAUAAAACGGAUAGCGUGCUACUUAUCUCUCAAAUUUUUAUAAAAGUUAAAAAAAGUAUAAAAAAUAUAAAGAAUAAAAAAAUAUAAAAAGAAUAAAAAUAUAAAAAAAAAAAAAAAAAACACUCUUUCAACCAUCAACCUAGCAUCAAAAACACUUUCAGAAUCAGAGUAAAUUAUUAUUAUGUCAAAAUCUGAUUCAAGAGAGGAGCAAAUUCUUCGGCAAAACUACACAGCACCAUCGUGCAUGAAAAGUCUAGAUUCAGAAGCUUACAAUAUAACAGCACACUGCUUCAUUCUCAAGGAUUGUAAUGUUACAGAAGAUACACACAUACGUCGUGCCUUCACGAUGCCAAAUUCUGUUAGUAUUUUGAUUAAAACAAGUGAUUUAAAACUUCUUAAAAAGUCCAUAUGUAUUAAAACUUAAAUUUGAUCUUUGGACUUUGUGGGCAGCCCACUGUCAAUGGGCCUUGCCUGGGAGCCCAAGUUUUGGUCUCUUUUCAUGUGGUGUUUAGUCCCACAUUGGAAAGAGACCCUCACUUGCUUUGGUUUAUAUACUUCUUUAUUCUCAUUGUUAUUACUUGGGAAGUGAUGAGAGUGGAGCUCUCGUCUAAAUUCACGCACGGGCCGGGCGGCGGCGCGCGUGAACCCGAUUCACUUUAUUUUUGUUACACUUUUCAUUUUAUUAUUUUAUUUUUGAUUUGGUCCAGUCAAAGGGUCGCACCUCGGGACUCAACCAGCCCCAACGGUCUACCUCGGGAAGAUGGUCUUCCCGUUGGAACCCUUCUUUUGCUCUCCUUUUUACUAGGGUGAGUGGCUGGGCUAGAAUAGUAGUGACAUACAGAAACCCUAACCUGAGCUUCCCCCCUUUCUCUCUUCUCCUUCUUCUUCUUCACUAUUUUGCUGGAUCUCUGAAAAGCUGUGACGGUUCGUUCUUGCGCCACCCUGAAGCCGUGCCGACGGGGUGGACGGAGGUCGUUGUAUCGCUAGGAGUGAUUGCCGGCGCCUCGUACGUGGAGGGGCAAUCUUGCUUCUAGGACAGUGCAAUCGCACGCCUCGACUCACAGGCUCCAUCUAAUCCUUUAUUCUCUAUAGUUUUUAUUUAUUUCGUUCUUAAUCAACGUUUCUAAAAACAGUGGAUAAGUUGUUUUCAAACAAAACUGUUUAUACAAAUAUUUGACUAAAGAUUUCGAAAGAGAACUAGUUUUUCCAACAAAUUCUUCUUCUAAUCUGCGGCGAAGAGCAUAUCGCAACCGUCGUAAUAAUAAUGAUACAAAAAGAGCGCGCCUCUCGCUUCUUUCAUCUUACAACAACAUAUAUGAUCCUCUACAAGAGGGUCGUCAGGGUGCGCCAUCUUGAGGACAAGAGGGUCGUCGGGGUUGGGGUCGGUGAGGAGGGAGCAGAUGGAGAGAAGGACCUUCGAGAUGGUCAGCGCAGGGCUCCACUGCUCCUUGAGGAUGUCGACGCAAAUGCUGCCGUUCGAGUUGAUGUUCAGAUGUGAGUACUCUAAAAGCUUAAACUAUUAGAGAAUGGUGUUUAAACAUUUUUAUACUCUCGAGACUUUUUAAUCGGCCCAUGACAUGGACUUGAAUUAAAUGUGAGGAAAUUAAUAUGCUAGGAGCCCGGCGUGAUUCGAACUCAGGACCUCCUUUUCUGAUACCAUGUGAAACAACUAUUGUAUUCUAAAAAUUUAAGCUGUUAGAGAACGGUGUUUAAAUUUUUUUAUAUUUAACAGGAUGGUACACCUAACAUGAUUUAGUGCAUAACCAUAUUACUACUACAUUGACGGCCGGAGCCUGAGAUAUCCGCCUUUUGCCGCAAGCGAUGGGAGAGCUCCAGAGUGUGGGUGCAGGGAUGGGAACAGGCAUGCAUGAAUUUAUCUAAUUAUAAAAAAUUCCACCUCAUCAUAAUUCAAAAUAAUUUUAUAUUUGUCUGAUAUAUAAAAUACUUUAUGUUAUAUUUGAAUAUGUAUUUUAGAAUUUUAUAUUUAAUGUACUAUAUUUUAAAAUAUCGUAUAGAGAAAUAAUUAUUUCGGACUCGUAUUCGGAUUUUGAAUUUUUGGUCGGAUUUGAAUUCGGUUAUGAAUUCUGUAUUUGGUAGUCGGAUUUUAAUUCGGAUUUUUAAAAACCCGGCCCAGAAUUUGAUAUGUCGAAAUUCCUAGUUGGGUGUGGGAAUUUAAUUGUGUGUAGGAGUUUUCUAGUUAAGUUCAUAGUUAGUUAAUUCGGAUUCGGCAAAACUUUGGUACCGAUAUAACACGUAUAAAAUUCGUUUUCUAAUUUAUAAAUUCUUUGAAAAAAUUGGCUUAAAAAACGGAUUCGUUAUAAAGCAUAAAAUAUAAGAUAUAAAAUAUAGGAUAAUUUAUAUUUAAAAAUAAAAAUUAUAAGUUUUUUAUUCAUAUUUUUAAUAAUUCGGAAAUAAUUCGCGAAUAAUUCGGCUAGCCCAAAAAUUCGCGAAUAAUUCUCUUUCUUUGGAAAAAAUUCGUAAACGGACUGUUUAAUUCGGAUUUUCAAUAAUUCGCGAAUAAUUUGCGAAUCUACUAAACAGUAAACUAGGAAGUUUAUUUCUUUUUGUAUAUCGUUUCCAACGAUUGGGGUAUAUGAAUUGACGAUCCAAACAUUUUCUAGAAAAAAAUUCCCUAAAUGCUCUUUUGAGAGAUGUAAUUUUAUCAACGCCCCUCCAAAGUUCAGAGUAUCACAGAUACCCUCCUGAAAUAUUCUCAAACGCCCCUAUCAAUAAAACAAUUCUACAAAUUUAAUGGAUUAAUUCUAAAUUUCUAUCACAAAAUGUUCUCCAAUGUCUAUCUAGAAGUAAACCACAGAAUAAUUAAGCAUUACUUUUUGACUAGGAUGACAAAAUAAAAAAAAGUAUUGACGCUCCGAUUGGAUGCGCAGUUAUAAAAUUUUAAGUAGUUUUGUAUACUAUAGUUUUCAUCUAGAUGAAAUAAAAAAAAAAAUCUGUAACUCUGAAAAAUUCCAUGGUUUAAUUUUUAAUCUGUUUGAAUAUAUAUUGUACAAUUCUACUAAACUUCUACCAAUUUAAAAUUGACAUUUUUAAACUUAAAAUCUAGAUUUAAGAUUUAAAUUUUGAAAUUUAUAAUUUACAAGUUAUAAUUUAAAUUUUAAAAUUUUACUUUUUAAAAUUGAAAUUUUAAAAUUGAAAAUUUUAUCUCAAAUUUUAAAAUUUAAAAUUUGACACAACAUGGGGGGAGAGAGCCAAAGAAUGAUGGAAUUUUUUUUUUUUGUUAGGUUAGAGUAAAUUUUUAUUUUACUAAUAUGUAUAUUAUACUUCAAAAAUGAAGUAAAAUAACAAUAUACUCUAACCUUAGGGGAAAAAAUCCAUCAUUCUUAGUCUCUCUCCCCUCAUGUUGUGUCAANACACAACAUGGGGGGAGAGAGCCAAAGAAUGAUGGAAUUUUUUUUUUUUGUUAGGUUAGAGUAAAUUAUUAUUUUACUAAUAUGUAUUCUUUUGGUCCCUCAAACACUUCAUAGGAUAGUUUUCGAUCUGGUAUAAUAUAGUUUAACUACACUAUGGGCAUCCAAAUAGGGCAAAAAUAUGUCUCCUAAUUUUGAUUAUUAGAUUUCUAAAUUUUAUUAAAUAGUUCAAUAAACUCUUUUUCGGGAGCAAACUUUCUAAUUACAUAAUUAUUUUGGCCAGAUAUAGUACACAUAAUCCUAUAAGAUUUUAAAAUAUAAAUAAAUCUAAUUUUUCUCUACUAAGCUUCAUAAUUAAGCAUGCCCAUCGUAUAAUAGGCAAUUUUAUUUUUUUAUAUGUUAGAAUAAACAAAAAAAAAAUUUGGGGGGUUUUUGAAGCUCUAUAAAAUUACACACACAAGACGAAUUUUUUUUUUUUUUUUUGAGUAAACAGGGAUAUACCCAUUUGAGAUUUGUAGAACAAGAAGCAAAUAAGACAGAACCAAGAGAAACGACAACCCCAUUGGCCGAUCAUGGUCCCCUACUCAAAUGAACGAAAGCUAACUAAGCAAAAACAAAACAAAACUAGGCAAAAACACCACACCCCUUUGGCAGAUCAUGAUCCCUGACAUUAAGAGCUCAGCAAAACUGUAGCUCGAACCCAAAGCUGUCAAGAAAAAUAACAGGAAUAACAGAGAAGGGAAAGACUCAAUGUUUGGGAAGAGACAGCGGUCUCAGCUUGUGAAAGCCGAAGUCCAUAGUUUCACCGUAUCGAGGACCCCUUUCCCCAGUUCGUCGCUUCGGGUAGACCGAUCAUUGAAAAUUCUCGUAUUUCGCUGCUUCCAUAAUUUCCAGCACACUGCUGCAAAGCACAAAUCAAAGCAGGUUAAUUGCCGCCCCCUCAAAGACCUUCUAGAACAGAACCACCGAGUAGGUAAGUCGCCAGGAAUGUUCGACACCAGCAAUUGCUGUGAGUUAGAAGUACUUCGGUUGAUCCAAUUCCAUACAGCUCUCGCAUAGAUGCAGGAGAAGAGUAGAUGUUCAAGAUUCUCUUCAUGGUUUGAACAUAGAACACACAUUGAAGGGCCAAACCAGCCCUUCUUUACAAGAUUGUCGGCCGUAAGAAUUCUGUUCCGUGCUGCAAACCAGAGAAAAACUUUGACCCUCAGGGGGAUUUUAAGUUUCCACAGAUAAUUAAUUUUGCAAUCACUCACUCCACCAAAAAUAAGGAAAUCAUAAGCGCCCCGUACCGAGAACGUACCGUUAGAACUCCACCGCCAAAGAGCCGAGUCAUCCGAAACGGACAAAGUGGUGCUUUGGAUCAAUAAUUUAAAAUGCUGUAGCUCUGCUUGUUGCUCCGGAAGGCAGAGGAAAGCAUCGAAGGCCAGGUUGACGCAUUCUUUGAAUCGGCGAAGCCAGUUGUCGAUCGAGAGGUGUUUAAGUUUCGAAACAGCAUACAAAUUGGGGAAUUUGAUCCUCAGGGCACACUCACUGCUCCAUCUAGUAUUCCAAAAUGACGUCACCUUUCCAUUACCAAGGGAAAAGGAGACCGAAGCGAGGAAGGGUGCAGCAGUGCUUAAAAAACCUUUCCAAAUCGGGCUGCAACCAUUGUAAGGAAUACGAUAGCCGAGCGAAGGAGGCCUGUGCUUAUAGUGCUUUUGCAGGAGAAGCUGGACCCAAGGCAGAUCCUGGGAAUUGAAGAAAUUCCACAGGCUCUUCAUAAGCAAAGCUGAAUUCAUAGAUGUUAGGUUUCGAAUGCCCAAUCCUUCAUAUUGUUUAGGGCGACACACGUGUUCCCACAUGACCAGGCAGUGAAAAUCAUUGUUUAAUUUUCUGCCCCUCCAAAAGAAAUCACGCCGCAAUCUGUCUAAGGAUCUAACGACCUAAGAAGGUAAGAGAAAGGAAGAGCAGAAAUAAGAAGGAAUGCUAGUAAGAACCGAAUUUAGGAGGACGAGACGACCCCCCUUUGAGAGCAUCAGGCCCUUCCAACCGGCGAGGUGGUUGUCGAUCUUCUCGAUGAGCGGCAUGUAGUCAGCUCUACAUAGUUUCAUCGGGGAUAGAGGCAAACCCAAAUAAGUUAUUGGGAAAUCCUUUGAGGAGCAACCAAAAGAGUUUGCCACAGCCAUUGCUUGCUCGGUUGGCAAAUUGAUCGGGAUGAGGGUGCUUUUGUUAUAGUUUAUUUUGAGCCCCGAAUUCGAAGAGAAAGUAUCGAGAAUAAUCUUGAUAGCCGCUGCAGACCUGGUUGAACCAUCGAAAAAAAGCACAAUAUCGUCAGCGAAUUGUAACGUAUGAAGCGCAACAUUCCCGACCCCGACGGCCGAUAUCGAACCAGAGGUAACUGCUAAAUGGAUCAUUCUAAAAAACACAUCAACACAAAGAAUAAAAAGUAGGGGAGAAAGAGGAUCCCCCUGGCGAAGCUCCCGUUUGCAGGAGAGAGUCUCGCCCGGGAUGCCGUUGAGAAGAACUGCAGUAUUAGCAGAUUGCAAUAGGGCUUGUAUCCAACCGAUCCACCUGCUACUGAAGCCCCUCGCCUUGAGGAGGGAGAGAAGAAAACACCAAUUAAUGUUGUCGAAAGCUCGCUCAAAGUCGAUCUUAAAAAGUUUCGUUCCUUGGAGGAAUGAAGAUGAUGGACGAGGAUGUGAGCGCUGUUGAAGUUGUCGAGAAUAAAGCGACCCUUAAUGAAAGCUGCUUGGUAGGGAUUAAUGAGUUGAUUCAUCACCGCCUGGAGUCGGGUAGCCAGAACCUUCGAAAUGAGUUUGGCCACGCUAUGCACAAGACUGAUCGGGCGAUAAUCUGCUGCCGAGGAGGCAUCUUUUCUCUUUGGUAGAAGACAGACCCAGCCGGUGUUGAUUACCUGCAGGUUAGCCGCGCCAUUGUAGAAAUAAUUGAAAACAUCCAGAAUAUCAUCUUUGAUUAGGUUCCAGAACCGCUGAUAGAAGAACAUAGGUAGUCCAUCGGGUCCAGGUGCCUUCUCCGGGGCAGAAGAGAAAAUCGUCCUCUUCACCUCAUCCAGAGUAAAAGGUAAAUGGAGGCAAGAGACAUCCACACACUUGCUGCUGUAGAUCAUCUAGAGAUUGAUAGAGUCAGAAGAGACCUGCUCAACACCUAGUUGAUUGGAGAAAAAAGAGAACAAAUGGUUAGCUAUGGUCUCGUGGGAGGAGAGGGUGGAGGUUCCGUCGGACAGGCGAGCAAUGUAAUUUUUGUUUCUGCGGUGGUUGGCUCUGCUAUGGAAAAACUUAGUGUUGGCAUCCCCCGCUUUUAACCACUGCACUCUCGAUCUUUGUUUCCACUUUAACUCUUCUUGCAGGCAUAAUUCUUCGUAUCUUAGCUAUAACUUCGGCCUAAGAUUGCGUUCCGAAUCAGAUAAUACCCUGCCCUCCUCUGCACGGUCCAGCCACUCGAUCCACCUUAGACAGCAGUUAGUUUGAUCUCUGAUAGUACUCGAUAGGCCCACACUCUAGGACCGAAGGGCAGAUUGGAUGCCAAGAAUUUUUGAAGAAAAACGAGAUACCGGAUCAGGCUCAGUCGCAGGGGCGUUCCCUGACUUCCAUGAGUUGGAGACUACCUCUAUAAUAGCCGGAUAGCGCAACCAAAAGCGUUCAAACCUGAACAAGUUGGGAGAAAGUAAGAAAGUGUAAGCUGACAGGAUCAGAGGCGUAUGAUCAGACCGUGGUCGAGGAAGAGCACGUAGGGUGGAUCGGGGAAAGCAAGAUGCCAGUCACUCGAAACGAAGGCACGAUCCAGAUGCUUGAGUGUAGGGGAGCCCCUGCUAUUAGACUAGGUAAGUGUUUUGUUCAGAAUGGGUAGGUCGAUCCACUCGAUCUCAUUUACGACCUCUCUAAAAUUCAAGAUAUCACUAAUGCUCGAGGGCGAUCCAUUUUUGUCAAGCACAGAGAGAAGGACAUUGAAGUCGCCAAAGGCUGUCCACACACCUAGAGCGAGAUCACAGAGAUUCCGUAGCUCCUGAAAAAAUCCGACUUUAAGAGAAGGCAUAGUUGGGCCAUAUAUGUUAGAAAUUGUGAAUAACUUUUCAUCAAUCCUUCAGCGAAGCACCACAUUAAGCAAGUAGAGACAAGCCCAGUCUUGUACACAAUCAAAGAGAGCUGGAUUCCAAGCAGUUAAGAGCCCACCUCUAGUCCUUGCGGCGUCCAAUGUUCUAAACUCAAAGAGGUGAAAGUCACAGAAGGAGCGAAAUUUGUCAAGGGGUGUGGAAGCGAAUUUAGUUUCUUGGAGACAGACAACACAGCACUUGCAAUUACGAAUAACAGAUUUGACAAUAGUGCACUUAGCAGGGUCAUUGAGGCCCCUUACAUUCCACGACAAAAAUCGAAAAGAUCUAUGCCUAGCCAUAACGAAGAAGAAAAACACACCCAAAGAGGCUUCCAAAGAUUACACAUUCUUCGGAAAAGCCCCGCAGAAACUACCCCCAACUUUCGAGCAGGGAGUACCAGCGCCUUGGUCGACAAUUCCGCAGGAUGCCUUGAUCUGGAGAAUCUCCUCGGGAGAGAGAGGGAGCGUAAGGUCCCUCGACUUCUCCGUGUCCUCUUCGCACCCCACUAGCGGAUCGGAAGCCGCCCGGUGUAACCUAUCAGUGACUUGCUGUGGAAGGGGCUGAAGAAGGUGGUUCGCCGAAGAAGAGGUAGCCGAAGAGGAAGAACAGUUAAUGCGGGCGGCCUUGGCAGCAAACUUCGUUAAUUUGAAUUUUUUACACAUGAUCUCCUGAGCCUUCAGCACAGCAGAUUUUUUUUUUCCUUUAUUCUUUGCGGCGAGGCGCAAGCUUCUUCGAUAGCUAAGCAACUUUCCAGUAGUUAGACGUGACAGGCCGAGAGGAGUGGGCUGAAGGCCUGGGCGAGGAUCCGCGACCAAAGGGUUCGGCACACCAUGCUCCGAGGGCCUAGGGCCCACAUGAGAGAUAUUGUCGAUCAAAGGGUUGGGCUCCGCAGGAGUGGCAUCCACUAAAGAACCACACAGGUUCGGGCUGGGAGAAGGCUGGGCCACUUGUAGCUGAGAAGGUUGGGUCAGGCUAGAAGCAGGCGCUUGUAGAUGUGAAGGCUGAGCCGAACUAGAAGCCAACGUACUCCCUGCGACAAGCGAGUCAACCCGUACAGGAACCAGCGGACAAACGGGGUGGUUGCGUACCUUCCUGACAUGGACAGGACCACAGAUGGCAGCUUGAGUGUACGGCUCGAGAAGUUGUUUGCCCUUAGAAUUCAAAUUGAAAUGCUCGUCGGAGGUCAUCGGCGCCGGCGAUGCUCCAGUUCCAGUUCCCGACUAGGACAUUGCUCCGGUAUAUGCUGAGGCCGAUGAAGAGGCGGAUCAUGCUGCCGCCCGAUGGGUACGGAACUCUGCCGGGGGACCUGGGAAGUCCCCUGGUCCCCAAAGGUUGGAACGAAGCUGACGUCAGUUCUCCUGAUAAAAUCAUCCUGAGCCUCAACGAUGACUAGGCCAAGCCGCUCGUCGAUGUUCUCGCCGAGUAGAAUGGGGUUGGCGUCCUCGCACGAUUCAACCUCGACCGGAAUCUCAAAGCGUCGGUCCUCUACCAUCAAGUGAAUGGCCUCGGGGAUGUACCGAACGUGUUGACAACGGAUCCUUGCCCUGAAGAACGAGACGUCGAGAAGACUCUCACUGAUAGAAUCUAUGUCCCAGAGCUCUCCAAAGUUGUAGACUGCCGCUUUGACGUCCUCCUCGUUCUAGCAAAGGAUUGGCCAGUGGUGCAGCCGGAUCCACACUUUGUGGCGAAGGUGACCCCUCUCCUUCUCCCUCAUCUCCACCCAGUUAGAGAAGUAGAAGCCAAAGCCCUCAAACCAAAGAGGACUGCGACCGAUGGCCGACUCCCUCACCACCCAAUUGGGGAAGAAGACCGCCUUACAGGGAGCCUAGAAGGAGGCGACCUUGUAGUCCUCACUAGACCCCCCAAACCUGGACGCCAAACCGCGGGAUAAAAUCUCAUUGAAGUUGUGAGGUUGCCGGCCGGAAACCUCAACCCUCGCCACGCAACCCGAGAGCGAAGGUUGGCCCGCCAGGGAGGGGCCUAGAAGGGAGGAAGGCUUCCACAUGAUCCGGUCGAUUUGCUGAGGGGCCGAGCUCCAUGGUUUGACCAGGGGCAAGACGACAAAAGUUGCACGCCGCUGCAGAGUGGCCUCUUCUCAUGCAAAAGAGGCAACGCUUCGGCUCCCUGCAGCGAGCCGCUAAGUGGCCCUUCUCGAAGCACCUAAAGCAACGGUCUCGGAGGGAAGGGUUGAGGAGGAAUUUUGGGGGGCGAAGUGGUAAGGCAGGGUUGGAGAUAAAGGUGUGGGCUGGGUUAGAGACUUUAUGGGGUGGUAGGAUAAAAGGUGGGGCCAAAAUGGCAUCUUUGUAGGAGACAGAGGACCUAACGCGACUGUCCCAAAAAGACAGAGAUGGGAGUCCCUGUUUGCGAAGAGGGUGGCCCCCCCGUUUGGCAGGCGGGAAAAGGUGGGGGAGGCGAUGGGUGGGGGAGGCGAGAGGUAGGGAAGGUUUGGGGGGGUUUGGGGAAGUCGGAGCCAUAAAGUUUUUUCUUUUUACAUACGACGAAAAUAAAUGUGUGAUUAAUAAUAACUAUAAUUGAAGAGAGGGAUUUAUUGAACUCUUUGAUAAAGUUUAAGGGAUUCAAGUAUUGAAAACUUGAAGAGAGGGAUUCAAGCUCCGCUUCUAUUUAGAAAUAACAAAACUUCAGGGUUGUUAUAUGUUUUUUUUCCGUUUUAAAUUUAAGAUCUAUCAAUUAUAGUUGUGGAUAAAGUCUCUCAUCUGAUGAUGUUCAUCUACCAUCAUCUAUAAUUAUCAAAAUAAAUAUAUAAUCAACCAACAUAUGCUACCAAUAAUUAUAUCUUUUUUAAUCUAAAAUCUUCUAAUGAUAAAAUUAUUUUCAAACGUCACAAAAAUAAAGUUCUAUCAAAAUUUGAAUUUACGCACAUAAGUAGCAUAUUCUAUACAAUUCAUGCAACUAUAAAUUCUUUAAGAGACCAGUCAAAUAACUUAAAUCAAACAAAUUGAGAGGUUGGGUACUAAAUUCAAAGCUUCGAAAUGUUCAGCAAUCGAUUCAAAAUAGCCUAUGAUUCAGAUAAGUUUGUUUUAUACAUUUUGACCAAUCCAUCAGUUACUUUUGAAAUCUUUCGCCAGCCAUGCUACCUCCAAAUUUGAGAAUGCAAAAUCGAAAAAAAAAAGAAAAGAAGAGCUGAUCAUUAAAAUACUGACAUGCAGAAUAUCUCUGUAAUUAGAUUAGUGUAACCAAACACACAGGAGGGAGGAGUGAUUCCUUCGUGCAACAGUUAAACAAAAUCACCAGGUUUUGAGAGGCAUUGACUUGAAAGAGUAAUUACUAAUUAGCAUAUUAAGCAGCUUAGAAGGUAAAACCAUAAUAAUAAAGUAACACCAACUACUGCACAGUAGUAUCAUAAAAUAGCCAAAGACCAUGGUGAAGCAUCAAGAAUCAUUGAUCAAUUACGGCAUGCAACUACCAAUAUAAAUCCAUUUAAAUACUAGCAUCAUCAUUCUGCACGAAACAGAACAUCGUUCCAAUUUGUGGUGUUACAUUUUGCAUGAUGUAAUUGUAAGUGUAGAGUUAAUUUAGUUAGAACUUAUCCAUGAGGUGGUUUACUGCGAGUAAAAUAGCAACUAAGCGGAAUCAGAAGUUAAAACUGAGGAUUUGAAGUUAAUUAUUUGCGCAGAUGCUAAUUAAGUGAAACAAUAAUUAAGUGAAGCAACAAGUACAGGUGCUAAGUGACUCAACAGUACAUAUUCUUUAUUUAUCUCAACAUCUGAGGAACUACAAAGAAUUGAAGGGCUGCACUAUCCCAAAUGAGAAUUUCAGAGCAAAAAAAAUAAAAAAGAAAAGAAAAAUAAUAAUCGAAAGAAACAAACAAAAAAAAAAUUAAACACCACUCCAUGUCCGACCAAGUCGCAAGGAGAGCAAUUCGUCAUCAUCACCAUCAUCAUCUUUCCUCUCCGGCGCGUUCUUAGGCUCCUCCUCUGGCUCUGCCGGCUCAUUAUUAGGGAAGAAGUUGUGCAGACGGCAGGCUCCGAUGCCUCUCCCAUAAUCACGAGCGUCGCUCGCUUGCUCGGAUUGCGACAGAAGCGCAGGAUUAUGCGAUUCCAAAAAAGGCCCAUUGAAGUAACUCACAAUCCUCACUUUGCGCUCAGCUGCCGGGGCGGGCGUUUCCUCUCGCUGCUCGCGAGCUCUUUUCUUGUUUAUAAUAAUCAGCGGGCCCUCGUAGUGCUUCCUCAUGUGGCCGCCCAGCGACUGCCCCGUCGCGAACGUCCUCCCGCACUUCUCGCAUGUGUGGGCCCCGCUGCCGCCUGCGGCAGAGCUGCCACUGCUCCCCUUCUUUUUCGAGCUCGUUCCCUUUUUCACGUCAGACACUGUUCCAUUGCGCGCAGCGAUGAUCGCGCCCGCCGCCACCCCUGCCCCUGCCCCUGCCCCUGCAGCGACGACGCUGAUGUUCGCUGGUUGAUUGAACCCGUCUUUCAUGAUAACUUCCCCAUUGCCGCCGCUGCCGCCACCAGCAGUCCUAUUGUCUCUAGUGAUUUUAUUCUCACUGCUACCACUAUCAUCACCUUGCGGCCGCUGAGGUGACUUUUCCGCAACAAGCAAGGCCAUAUGGGGAUCAAGAAGCGUGUGCUCGUGUGUGAUUGUGUGUGUGAGAGCGCGUUAGUGUAAACUAGAGUUUGGGAGUGUGGAAACGAAGAGAGAAAGAGGGGUUUUAUAACAUAUAUAUAUAUUUCCAUAUAAUUCCAAUUCUACUCUGACUAGUAGAAAUCAAUAAAAGAAAAUUCUAUUUGAAUUGCAAUCCUAAUUGUACUAGGAAUCGAGAAUUAAACUGCUCCCAAUUUCAAAUCCGCGAAUCCGCGUCCGUCUCUCCUCCGGGAUUAGGAUUAGGAUUUCACUCCGCGGCUGAUCGUUCUGCGCCAUUGCUCCAUCAAUCCUUCUCCUCCUCCUCCUCUUCUUCUUCGUCUUCUUCCUCGAUCCAUCUCCUCCUGCUUGUGAUCCUCCUCCACCGACGCUUCCUACGGUUAGGGUUAGGGUUAGAAUUAGGGUUUGGCUCGGGGGUUCGGUCGCCAUUAACGUCGCCAGCUCUGGUUUGGGUUGUUUGUGAGGGAGAGGGGAGGUUUUUUUAGUAGCGCGAAGCUCUUCUCGCUACAGUUCAGGGACGUCGAUGGUAUGAUAUUCGAAAUUUUAUGUGAAUCCGAACCCGAAUCCGAAUGAAACGGAUAUAUCUGAUACUAAAUAGACAUGAAUUCGGAUAUGGAUAUCAAAAAUAAAAAUCCAACGGAUAUAAAUUCGAAUAUGAAUUUUGACUGUACCCGACCAGAAUCCGACCCGAACCCAAAUUUAUUUUAUAUUAUAUAUAAUAUAUAUAAAAAUUUGAUGUUAUAUUUAAAUUUGUAUUUUAAAAUUUUAAAUUUAAUAUAAUAUAUUUUGAAAUAUUGAACAAAGAAAUAAUUAUUUUGGUUUCAAAAUUUCGGGUUCGGGUUUGGGUUCGGGUUCGGGUCUCAGAUUUUCUAUUGGGUUCAUGUUUAAAUAUGAAUUUUUAAAAUCCGUCGGGUUCGGAUUCGGAUUUGGAGUCGGAUUCGGGUUUUUGAAAAUCCAUCCCGAAUCUGAUUCUAUGACAUACGGUCGAGGUUGAGAUUAUUGCGCGCACCUGGUGCAUGAAGCACCCACGAUUUUAGGUUUUUUUUUUUUUUUUUUCGGAAAAGCAUCAUCAUUACUUUAUUCUCUGGGUAUGGUCUGUUCGAAAAAUAUAUAUAUAUAUAUGCCUUUACUGCUUAGACUUAUUUUUUACAGAUAAAAAUGUCAAAUAAUUACUCUUAUAAAAUUAAAAAUAUUCUACAGGCCCAGUGGUCUAAAAUCCCCAUCCCAAAUGUCAGUACACCGUUUGGCUUUGGAAAAGUGAUUUUGGAACAAAAAAUAAUUUCCGGCUUCUAAAAGUUUGGUAAUCACACUUUCAAAUUUUGGUUCUAAUUUUUAGAAUUAAUUUUCUGAUACUCGAAAACCAAUUCUUAAAAUCGAUUCUGAAUUUGGAUCCAAAAUUCAAAUUCUUAUUGUUUUGAUUUAGACUCAAAUUUUUUAAUUUAAAUUCAAAUUUUAAUUUAAAAAAUUUUAAAUUUUUAUUUAAAAUUCAAACUAUAAAUUUAAUAUCAAAAUUUAUAUAUUAAAUUUAAAAUUUAAAAUUAUAAGCUUUGGUUUUCCAACUACCAAUUUAAGAUUUUAAAAAUUUAAAUUUAUAAUUUAAAAUUUUAAUUUUCCAUAUUCCUUUUUAUUUCUCAUCAAAAGUAACACACGAUAGCAAAUGUAUCUCGAGUAAUAACACCACCCUUAAAAAAAACAAGGAAGAUCCCAAAAAAAACAAAAGAAUUAACACUCUUUCAACCAUAAACCUAGCAUUAGAAACACUUUCAGAAUUAAAGUAAAUUCUUAUUAUGUCAAGAUCAGAUCCAAGAGAGGAGGUUGAAACAAGAAAAAUCUUCGGCAAAACUACACAACACCAUCAUGCAAGAAAAGUCCAGAUUCAGAAGCUUACAACAUAACAACACACUGGUUCAGUCUUAAGGGUUGUAAUGUUAGGGAAGACACAUACAUAUGCCGUGCCUUCAAGAUGCCAAAUUCUUCUUCUAAUCUGUGAAGAGUAUAUCACAACCGUCGUAAUAAUAAUGAAACAAGAAGAGAGCGUCUCUCGCUUCUUUUAUCUUACAACAACAUAGCCGUCUACAAUCUUAUCUUACAGAGGUUUUGCUUUGUCGGGCUCAGCCCAUAGCGUACUUCUGGGUCCAAGCACGAGCUGUCUCCUCAUAGCGGGACCGCUGGGUCUUGUAGAGGUGCGCGAUCUCGGGGACGAGAGGGUCGUCGGGGUUGGGGUCGGUGAGGAGGGAGCCGAUGGAGAGGAGGACCUUCGAGAUGGUCAGCGCAGGGCUCCACUGCUCCUUGAGGAUGUCGAGGCAAAUGCUGCCGUUCGAGUUGAUGUUCGGGUGGUACACCUAACAUGAUUUAGUGCAUAAUCAUAUUACUACUACACUGACGGCUGCUGUCAGAGCAAGAUUACUCCUACAGCUCAUACUGCUUGUUUUUGCCUUGGAUGGGACUUGUACAUAAGGGCUGUUUGAGUCGAGCUGUUUAAAAAGCAACUACAUUUUUUUUGAAAAAAUAUAUAUUUAGCAUUGCAAAUUAUUUCGACAGCUACACUUUGAAGCAACCAGCAGAAGCUUUUUAGUGCCCAUUUGGUCUUAAGCUUCUUUUUCUGCUACUUUCAACACAUAUAAUAAUGUUCUGCAGAAUGAAGAAUACGGAAGCAAAAAUGGACUUUUUGCUUCUACUUUUGCUUUUGUUGUAUUGGAAAGUUAAAAUGAACUUAUAAGCCUGAAAGCUGAAGCUUCAAUGUUGAGUUUCUGCUUCUCCUGCAAGAAGAAGUUGUUAGAGGGAGCUUAAAUGUAAAAGCUGUAGGGUUUUUCCAACAAAGAGGCAAAAUGGAACUUCUACUUUUGAGAAGCACAUUAUGGCUUUACUAUACAGUCAGAAGAUCUGAUUUUGGUUUGCCAAAUGUCUACCUUCUGAUUUUCCAAUUCUCGAGUAAAGAAAAUAUUCCAGAAGUCAGACCACAUAGCCAAAACACUAGGAUAUUGCACUAAAAUAAUACGUAAGAACAAAUUUUCCAGUAAACUAUAGAUAUUACACUUGUGAGUAAUUUAAACAUCAAUAACAUUAUGGCAAGUUGAGAAAAAGUUGGCGCUGUAAUUUGGUGACAAAUAUUAAACAAAGGAAAUGCAUCAAUCAUGGUUUUCACAAAUCACGCUGGAUACUACUUAAAAUGCAUGCUACAAAUAUAUGGCCCUUUUAACUGCUUAAAACUGUAAAAGACAAGGUCCAUCCAACUUUCGAUAGUUUGAGGACAGUCAAUAGGUCAAAGCAAGUGCAUCAGAAAGUCACAACUUAAAAUAGUUUCACUUCAAUUAUCACCCAUUAUCAAGACGCAAAAGAUAAUAUCAACUAACCUGAUGAAACCAGCAGCAAUUCAAGGAAUACUCGCAAAAGACCAGCUUAGUUUUAAUAUAUAAAUAGUUCGCCAAGGUCAAACAUAAGUGCUUCCGCCAUGAAUUCCAUGGCAUGUGUGAUUCGUUACGGAAGCCUUAUUUGAAUUAUUCUUAGAUGGCACAUGAAAAAUUAAUUAGGAUUCCUCCAAUACAAAUUAACUGCCUAUUAGAUUCCGCAGCUUUGAACACACGAGGGACCGGAAGAGGCAGUGGAGUUUAAAAUAGGUGAAAGCAUACAGAUCAUACCCGAUCUCUAACACAUUUUGAAAGAAGUACCUGAACUUAAUAUAUUCUGAUUAUACUACCUAACCUUACAUAAUUUUUUGUUAGACUUCAUAAAAUAUCAAAUGUUUUCAUUCUACUACCAACCCUACAAUGUUUGUAACAUUUUUUGACAGCAUAUUUCGAAAUACUCUGUUGACAGUAGUCCAAAUACUGUUACAUUAGGUAAUAGAACAAAAACGUUUUUAAAAGUCAAAUAUCUAUUAAAGAAAAGGAAAAAAAAACUGUAAGGUUGUGUAGUAAAUUCAGAGUAUUUAAAGUAGAGGUGCACUGUAGUUCAGGUAUGGCCUGUAUUGUCACCGUUAAAUAUUCAUAAACAAGCAAGCAAGCAAGCAAGCAAAUGCAAGGGUUCAUAGGUAAUAUGAUUGAGUUUUGGUCAUUAGGAAUGUUUCACAGCAGCUCUCUAGGCCUUGUGUGAUUAGGAAUUAGUAUCCCUUCACACGCACCCACAAUUAAUUUGGUUAGAUGAGGUGCAUGCAUGCAAUUUCCGAGAAAAGGAGGGCAAGUAAAAUAUAUAAGCAUAAGAACAAGAGUCCUGUUACCUUGGUCUGGAAGUUGACCUUAGGAGGCUUGAAUGGAUAAUCAGGAGGAAAAUGAAUCUUGAUGAAGAACACCCCACCGGCAUAAGGGCUAUCAGUGGGUCCCAUUAUUGUUGCCUGCCAAUGGAAUAGAUCCUCUCCGACAGGUCCAGCGCUGCACGAAGUUGGAGGAUCUUUUUGCAAAUCCAACAAUUCCUUCUGAAUCCUUUUGCUAGCCAUUACCUCCUGAUUUCAAACAGAAAACGAAUCAAAGAGAGAGACAACUUAACCAUGCACAUAAAAUAUGUGCCUGAUAAACUUAUUGUUAUCAAAUGUUCUCUUUUCUUUCUUUUCUACUAUUUCGGCAGCACGUUUAGAUCUACAGUUAUGACAUGCUAGAAUCAGUGUGCUUCCAAGUAUAAGAUAAAGAAGAAAGAAGAAAGAAGAAAGAAUAAAGAAGUAAUUCCAGAAGCAAGUUGAACCAGCACAUCUGCAAGUAGGACAAAUUACUAUUAGCUAAACCAAAAUUAACAAGAUUUUAGAGGCAUUGAGUUGAAGAGUAAUUACUAAUUAGCAUGCUAAGCAGCUCAAAAGGCAAAAAUAUAACAAAAAAGUGAAGCCUCUUGUGAGGGAAGAACUCUGAUAUUCAUUAUAGUACUAUAUCAUAAUUUAGUAAAGGAUUAUAAUGGAACAUCAAAGUUAGUUACUUAAAACAUUCAUCUACAGUUAUAAAACUGGUUAAACAAGUGAUGUUUUAUGCGCUUCCGAGAUCACAUGUGCAAGCAACACAAUUGUUAGACAAUUCUGGUAUUACCAAGGUAUAAAUUAGAGCUAUCAAUAUAGCUCGCAGUUUUGAAGCCAGCUCAUGUUCGACUCAAUAUUGACUUGAACUUGGUUCGUUCGUUUAUUAAACGAGUCGAUCAGAAGCUCACUUUUUCAUCUCAAGAAAUAAACGAGCCGAACACAAGCUAGCCCCUACUCACCUGUGCUUAGCUCGACAUAGCUCGAAAAUAAAUACUAUAUAGAGAGAGAGAGAGAGCUAUGCUUCUAUGCUUUCGAAAGUACGGAGGCCUCCGUGCUUGUAAGUUGUUUUCGAUGAUGGAUAAUUCGAUUCGGCGAUCGUCUCUGUAAGACAUGAUCUACGCUAUUGGAACUAUUUAGAAACCAAAUUUCAUAAUUUUUUAACUUAAUUUGCCUAGUGAACGAGUAGCUUCAAAAUGAACGGCUGAAAAUAAAAAUCUCAUAAAAAAUAGUGAUAAAAGACAAAUUUUAAAUCGGAAGUAUUGUUCUUGCUCUUGAUAUUAAGUAGAAUUUUCAAUUAAAGUUUCAUGUAAUUUGGAUUCUUCUACAUCAUUGAACUUACAAACGUGCCACAUUGGCCGUUAAAAUAGUCAUUUUUUAGACUCUUUGAUCACUUGGUAAAUUAUGUCGAAAAAUUAUGAUUGGUUUCUAAAUUGUUCUAAUAGCAUAGAUCAUGCCUAAUGGAGCCGAUUGCCAAAUCGGAUGCCCUAUCAUUAAAAACAACUUACAAGCACGAAAGCCUCCGUACUUUCGAAAGAAUAAGAGACGUACUCUCUCUCUCGCUCUCUCUCUCUCUCUCUCUAUAUAUAUAUAGAGAGAGAGAGAAAGAGAGAGCUAGGCUGGUAUACUAUCGGUAGCACGGAGCCCUCCGUGCUACCAAGUUGUUUUCAAUGAUGCAAUUUCCAAAUCGACGAUCGGCUCCGUUAGACUUGAUCUACACUAUUGAAAGUAUUCGUAAACUAAAUUUCAUAAUUUUUCGGCAUCAUUUCGCUAGUGAUCAAAAGGUCUCAAAAUUGAUAAUUUUAAUGGUAGAUGUGAUACGUUUGUGAAUUUAACGGUGUAAAACAAUCCGAAUCUGACGAAAUUUUUAUAAAAAAUUCUUUUCACUAUUUAGAGUAAGAUCAGUACCUCAGGUCUUAAAUUCAAGCCUUUUAUCAUCAUUUUUUAUGAGGUUUUUAUUUUCAGCCGUUUAUUUUUAGACUACUCGUUUGAUAGGUAAAUGAUGCCCAAAAUUUAUAAAAUUUAGUUUUCAAAUACUUUCAAUAGUGUAGAUCAAGUCUAACAGAGCCGAUCGUCAAUUUGGAAGCCGCAUCAUUGAAAACAACUUGAUAGCACGGAGGGCUCCGUGCUACCGAUAGUAUACCAGCCUAGCUAUAUAUAUAUAUAUAUAUAUAUAUAUAUAUAUAGAGAGAGAGAGAGAGAGAGAGAGAGAGAGUAGGGCUACUAUACUCUUAUGAGUAUAGAGUCCUUCGUACUCAUAAGUUAUUUUCGAUGUUGGGGUUUUCGAAUCGACGAUCCACACCGUUAAAUAUGAUCUAGAGUAUUUGAAACUUCUAGAAAAUAAAUUUCGUAAUUUUUUGAAAUCAUUAUAAAGUCCAUCAAGUGGGUAUAAAAUGAACGGUCAAAAUCGAACGACAUCCUAAAAAUGGAUGAUCGGAUCCUUCAAUUUAAGAUCGGAGUUAUUGAUCUUUAUUUAGAUAGUGAAUAAAAUUUUCUAUCAAAAAUUCAACCUAUUCCGAUUCUUUUUCACCGUUAAACUAGCAAAUAUUUCAUACCGGCCGUUAAAAAUUGUCAAUUUUGUGAGCUUUUGAUCAUAAGGUAUAUGAUAUCGAAAAUUAUAAAAUUUGAUUUCUAGAAGUUUUAAAUGCUCUAGAUAAUGUUUAACGGUAUAGAUCGUCGAUUCGGAAGCUCUAUCAUCGAAAACAACUUAUGAGUACGAAGGCGAUCGUACUAAUAAGAGUAUAGUAGCCGGACUAUAUAAUAUAUUAAUUUUGAAUUGAUAUGUAGCAAAUUUAAAUACUAUUUUAAGUUUUUAAUUUUUUUAGCAUUACAUUAACAUUAACAUUUUAAUACUAAUUAGUAAUACUAAGAACAAAAGCAAGCAUCAAUAAUAAUAAAUUACUAAUUAUACUAAUUAUAGUUAGUAUAAAGAUUUUAUAAAAGUAUAAUUAAAGUUGGCUCGAAAUAACUUUGAGCAAGAUCAAAUUAAUUUCAAGCUGAAAACGGGCUGGAUUAUGCCAUCUUAUUUUAGUUUCAAGCCAAACACAACUAGGCUCGAAUUAUUUUCGAGCUGAUCUCGAGCUAGCCCCAGGUUGCUCAUGUUUGGCUCAUUGAAUGUUGUAGUUCAAAUUAUUAGAUUCUUCAAGAAAUACAAAAAAAAAAGGAGAGUAUAAGCAAAACUUGCAUUUCUUUAUAUAUUUUACACCAUUUUCAAAUACACGUUGAAAACAAUAUUGAAACUCCAUGAUGUUUAUUCAACAAAAUAUGCAAAUUAUUAGAUUGAGGCAUGAGUAGGGUUGUGCUCCGGGCUAUCCGGCGAGACCUAGAUUUUCGGGCUGGUUUGGGCCACAAAGUGGCCCGGCCCAGCCUGGAUUCUAAUCAGGGCCAUGCCAGGCCGGGCCACCUUUUUUUGGAUUGUGGCUCAACAUGGCCCAUGGCCCGGAUCAGGCCGGGCCUGAAAAUGGCCUAUUUAACUAUAUUUUUCAUUUUUUUUAUUUUUAUAUUUAAAUUUUAUUUUUGAAAAUUUUUACUACUGAUUUUAUAAAAUAUAUAUAGUUUUUUAUUAAUAAAUAAGUUUUAGAUGAAUUUUUAGAAAAAUUAUUUGAAAUUUAAAUAAUUUAAAUUAAUAUUUGAAAUAAUACAUACAAAAAAAAAUUAAAAAAAUGCAUUAGAAAAAGAAAUAAAUAAAUAAAUAAAUGGCCCAGCCUGGUGCUUACUGCUUAGGCCCAGUCCAAAAUGGACCAGGCCACACCCAGCCCUGUGGCCCAGCACUGCCCACAUUUGGAUGUGGGCCGAGCCGUGCCGGGCCACCGGUCAACAAGUUGCAGCCUAGCAUGGCUCGCACCACCAGGCCAGGCUGCAGGCCGACUGCAAAUGGGCAAGCAUGGCUCGCAGUCGGGCUGGUUUUACACCACUAGGCAUGAGUAAUCUAUAACUCACACAUAUUUUUCCAUCAAUAAUUUGCUUUCGGCAAAAUUUUUAGCCUGCUAGAUAUUCACAAAUUAUUAAUAAACUAACUAAAGGUUCUGUUCUGACAGUGCCACCUUAUUGGCCAUCAGCCUUCUCACUUUAAUUCUUUUUCCCCCUUAUCAUUUAAACCAUUUAUUUUCCAAUUUGUUAAGCAUGUAAAUAUCAUGGCGCUGUAUUGAUAAGAGUUUGCCAAAAUGGAAUUGAGUUUCAGCUCAUUUGGUCUCUUAACAAGCUAGCAUCAACAUAUAAUGAGAAGAUGUCAAAGGAACUGCUCUCAAUCGCUCUCUAUAAUCAUCUAGCAGCUGAAAUUAAUAAGCAACUAUCGAUGUCCAGUUACUUGCACCAAUAUUUGAUUAGAUUGACCUCUGAAGAACACUGGAUCUCUGAAAAUUAGGCAUAUAGGUUGCAUAGAUUGGUAUGCUAACAUUAUCAACUGCUUAAACUACACUAAAAUUUUGCAUCAAUGGUGGUAAAUGAGUCCUAACUUCACAUUUUACCUUGUGUAUUCACAUCAAUAACCCCACACCAUCAAUAAUCCAUCAUCAUUAGGUUAACAAUUCUCAACAGAAAUUAAUUAAUUUGGCUUACGAGCAUCUGGCUUUUGGCCUCAGACCAAUCCAAUCAAGCAUUCAAAGAAUCACACAGCUUCUACAAACCCAACUGGUUAAUAUACUCCUCGUCCGAAACUUCUCUAACAUCAAAUUAAUGCAAAAAAUCCAACAAAUUCAACAAUAUGCGUACGAAAAGAAGGACUCCAAUCCAACAAACACUAACCAUAUCUCACCAAAUCGGUUCUUCUACUCUUAAAUUCAUCACAACGGGAUCAAUAAACAAGAAACAAAAGGUAAUUUAAACAAAAAAUCCUAAAACUAAACAACCCAAAAAAAAAGGCACUCCGAUCCUAUAGAAACCCUAUGUAACCCUAAUCGAUCCGGAUCGUUAAGUAUGGAGCUGGAUUUAGAGAAGAAGAAGAGGGGAUUCUCUUACCGAUUAUGAGAAUCCGAUAGAGGGGAGGUCGAUAAUGGCGGAUUAGGGCUGGAUCUCUCUCCUCCGCCACCGAGAGAGAGAGAAAGAGAGAGAGAGAAUUAGGGCGCAAAAACCGGUGGGAAAAGGAAGGGGAAGGGGAAUAAAUAGCGGGUCAAAAUGCGUGGAGACCCCUCAACUAUACUAAAUUUACAAAUAAGUAUCUCCAUUUAAAUUUGUUUUAUCUUAUACGCCAUUAUUUUUUCAUUUUUAUUUGAGAUUUUUGAGUUGUGAAUAAAAUUAUUAAAUUUGGUGAGAUACUAAUAAAUUCGAUGAAACUUUUUCAUUAAUUAUAUUAAAAAAUGUAAAAAUGCAUGGAGAUCCACUCAACUGUAGAUCAUUCCAAAAUAGCCCCCUCAACUUCUUAUUUUUUUAAUUUAAUUUUUUAUAUUUAGUUAAAGCUUAAAAUCUCACAAAACUUAAUGGCCUUAUUAGUUAUUAAUUAUUAAUUGACCCAGUUUUAUUUGCCAAAAAGUGGUUAAAAUCAUUAAAUUGGGUAAAAUCACUGUGAAUUUGAUAAUAUUUUCAAAUUCUAUGGCUAAAAUUAUUAUAUUAAAGGAUUAAUUUCAUACAGGUCUCUACAAACAUAGUAAAUUACAAAUAUAUCCUUACAAAAUUCAACUUUCAUACGUUGUUUCUAUAAAAAUCUUAAUAUUUUCAAAUAUGUUCCUGCCGCUAGAAAAUUUUAGCUAACCAUAAGUUAAAUGCUUAACUCUAAUUAAUUUAUGAGAUAACUUGAUAUUUUUGCCUUUCUCAUAUUAAACUAUUUUGGUUUUUUGAAGGGACAUAUUUGUAAUUAAAAAUUAACAUUUUACUUAAAAUAUAUACAGUUCUAUAAACGAUAACAAAUCAGAGGGACAUACUUGAAAAUAUUAGAACUUUUAUAGAAAUAAUUAUAAAAGGUGAAUUUUGUUAAUAACAUAUUUGCAAUUCACUAUCUUUAUAGGGACAUGAAUGUAUUUAAUGUUAUAUUAAAAUAUUAAAAGUCAAGGGAUCACAAUCAUAAAAAAAAUAAUAAUAAUAACUAUGGGGGCUGUUUUAGAAUGGUAUAUAUUUGAGGUGAUCUGUGUACAUUUUUACAAUCUUUUUUCCUUAAUUUAAUUUUUUUUAUUUAAGUUUUUCUAGUUAGUUAAAUAAAAAAUAUUAUCAAAUUUUAUAGUUUUACUCGCUAAAAAGUGAUUAAAGCUAUUAAAUUUAAUAAAAAAACACUCACGACUUUACUCAAAACUUUUCAUUUAAUUAUUAAUUUAAAAAAAAAAAGAAGUUGAGGGACAUGUUUCAAAAUAAUCUAUAGUUGAGGGGGCUUUAUACACUUCUUGCCUUUUGACUUGACCCGGUUUUGUGUGGUCCCAUUCUCCCAGCCCAGAAGAUUCCAAUGGAUUAGGGCGUAGACCAGGUCCACCACGUCAGCUAGACAGGACCAAUCAAAGUACCUCAAAGUGCGCAUUUGGUUGUAAAUUAUUCGGUGCACAUAGUGUACCACGUAAGCGACGAACCGAACGUGUAAGAUGCACACACGUUGCUUACUCCCAUUGGCAGUGGCGUUUUAAUGAUUGAUUCACAUACCUGGUCUAUAGACCCGGUCCAGGAAAUAUCUCCACACUCUCGCGGGUUACAGUUUCUUGGGUGUUUAUAUAUAUAUAUAUAUAUAUAUAAAAUAAUUUUUAAAAAAGGGAUAAUUGCGUAAAUAACCCCGCGAAGUGGAGAUAUUGCAUAUUAACCUCUAUAAAUUAUAAGAUAUCUUAUAUAUCCCUACAAAAUUUAAAAACUUACCAAUAUGUGCGUAAAUUGAUUAUUUUGUCUUUAUUUUGAUCCGCCGUGGCAAUCGUUUUCAAUGAUGAGAUGCAACUCUAUCAUCUUUUAUUAGUAAAUUAAAAUUAUUUAAUUUUGCUUAGGUUUCUUUAUAUUAUCUAUAAUUGCAAACAAGGACAAAAUAAUCUUUUUUUUAAGUAAAAUAUAAAUGUCUUUUAACCGGUCAAUGAAAGUAUUUGUCAAAUUUCAAAGUCUUGCAGGGCAUAUUUUUAAUAUUUAAAGUUUGGGGAGACAAACAUACAAUAUUUCUUUUCUUUUUUUUUUCUGAAUUCAAUAUAAUAAAAAAUUAAAUACUAACACACAAAUUUGCGUUGAGUUAGAAUAAUUCUAAGGGGUUAUUUAGUUGCACGUAACUGUAAAUUGUAUUGCAAUUGUAGCCACUCAGGUGUUUAUUUUGAUGCAUUUAAAUUUACUGGUGCAAUUACAGUUGUACGAGUAGGCUCAAUUACAAUAGUUGAAGCUUGCGCUCGAAUUUGGCCACAGUUUCAACUACAGCACUUGGAGAGGAAUAAUUAUUACUGAAGAUAAACUUAUCUUUCUAAUGACUUUUGUAAAAAUUCGUAAAUACAACUUCUCAGCCGAAUGCAACCAAGCAAGUUAUUUAUACAUGCAACGCUUCCUGCUACAUUCAACCAAAAUAAAAUGCGUAUAAUUAUAAAUACUGUAUUUUCAACUGCAUUUAUCUUCAAAUGCACUGCAUUUAUAAGCAUGUCAAACCAAGGAAGCCCUAAAAGGAGUCUAGCUACUAUUCUUCUAGGAGGACAAAAGCCUUCACCCUCCUAACUUAUUUUAGAUGAUAGGAAUCUCGAAUCGAUGAUCAGAACCAUUAAAAUUGAUCUAAAAUAUUUAUAAUGUCUAGAAACUAAAUUUUAUAAAUUUUAAAAUCCGUUAUCAAAUUCAUUAAAGAGUCGAGAAAUGAACCGUCAAAAAUGAAUAAUCUUGUGAAAAUACAUAUUAGACUUUUUUAAUUCAUGAUCGGAAUUAUCAAAAAUUCAAGUUGUUUAGAUUAUUCUCCACUGUUAAACAAGCAGACGGCUCAUGUAGGUUGUCAAAAACUGUUGAUUUUGCGAUUUUUUUUUAUCACUAUGUAAAUAUUUUUUAAAAUUCAUGAAGUUUAGUUUCUAGAUACUUUAAAUAUUCUAAAUCAACUUUAACAGUUUCGAUCAUCGAUUUGAAAUUUCUAUCAUCUAAAACGACUUAGGAGGAUAAAGCCAUCCGUCCUUCUAAAAAGAUAGUAGAUGUAUUUCCCUAUAAAAGUUUUUUUUUUUUUUUACCCACUUUGUUUAUUUCAUUUAGAAAUAAAUUUAACUGAAAAUGUGAAUCAACUAGAAUUUGAAUCUGGAACUUCGGGUACCAACCACCAACCCUGAAAGUUUUAUUAUUUGCAUACUUCUAACUCUUUUUUUCC
rnacentral:lncRNA from 1 species